UGAAGAGAAAAAAAAGAGAUAGGAGUAUGGUCGAGCGCACGAAUUGCGGGAUUGACUAGCGACUCUUUCGCCCCUCAGGCCCUCACACCCAGCGUCUUCCUCCUAGGGUUAGGAAAAACGUGGCCGCCGCCGCCCUCCCCCACUUCGCUCGAGGUCGCCCCUCUCCAUGUCCCCUCCUGAGCUCCACCUCCUCCAGCCCCCGCCUGGGCUCUGCUCCUUCUUCCUUGUUGGCGCUCAACCGGACGAGGCUGAACUGCCACAAACUGCGGCAGAGGGACACGUCGAUGAGGAUGGCAAGUCGAGCUGGAGGGGAUCGGGAGGCGUGAGGCGUGGAUACGGGUGGAGCGCUGAAGAAGGGUUGUGUGGGGCAACCGGCCCGUCUUAUUUUGUGGAGUGGCCAUUAUCAUCGCCAAGCUACUCAACUCGUCGAACCCGAUGUCGCCAUGUUCGGGAAGAAGGAUUGUCAGCAGUGGCGUCUCCUCUGCCGAAUGAUAACUAACAGAUUUGACAGAAAGGCAUACUGAUUUAAUUGUUGUGUGCCAUUGCAUCGGUGAAAAGGCAUUCUGCAGUGCCGAGUGCCGGGACCAAGAGAUCAUGAUCGAAGAGGAAGCGAAGCGCAAGAUCGUCAUCAGAUGCCCGUCCUGCUCAACCCUGCAUGGGUGGAUGGAACGGACAAUAGCGGAGGACAUGGACAUUGCUCGUCCUGAACAACGUCGAGUGCCAAUGCGAACUACCAGAGUCAUAUGAGGCUUACCGAAAGUGGCAACAUCGGUGGCAUUCCGGUCCAAUGCAGAUGUUCAAGCUUUGCAUAUCCAACAUCAUCAAGCCCAAGGCAUUGCUAUGCUCUUUUUGUUGUAAUAUCUAAACAGAAUGUACUACAAAAUAGAUAAUCUGACGAAGAUGUGGCACGUGAGAUGUUCUCCAAUAAUGUUAACUUGUUGUCAAAAACUCUAAAAUGGUACUGCUUUUUGAACCGAGUGUCAAACCCAAUUGAGUCAAGUCUCCCUUGCAGUACGGUAUUUUGUGGCGCUUGCUUAGGUUACACUUUGAAAAUCAUUUGCCUUCUGUA